CGAACGGGUGAGUAACGCGUGAGCAACCUACCUAUGACAGUGGGAUAGCCUCGGGAAACCGGGAUUAAUACCGCAUAAAAUCGUAGAAACACAUGUUUUAACGGUCAAAGAUUUAUCGGUCAUAGAUGGGCUCGCGUCUGAUUAGCUAGUUGGUGAGAUAACAGCCCACCAAGGCGACGAUCAGUAGCCGGUCUGAGAGGAUGAACGGCCACAUUGGAACUGAGACACGGUCCAA
rnacentral:rRNA from 1 species